UUUCUUCUUCUUCGAUUCUUCCCCUAUUUCUUCAAUUUUUUUUUCUUUUUCUUCGAUUCUUUUUUUUGAUUUUUCUUCAAUUUCUUUUCUUCUUCCUUGAUUUUUCAAUUUUUUUUAUUCUUUUUUCAAUUUUUUUAUUUUUUAUUUUAAAUUUGGAGGAGAUAAAGGAGGGAUUGAAAAUUUGGAGGAGAUGAAGAAGAGAUAUAGAGAAGAUAAAGGAUAUAGUAAAGAUGGAGAAAAGAAAAAUAAAGGAGGGGAUUGAAAAUUUGAAAGAAAUGAAGAAGAGAUAUAUGAAAGAGAUGAAAGAUGUAGUGAAGAUGGAGAAAAAGGAAAAGAAGUUUGAAAGCCCUUUAUGAGCACUAGCAUUGUUGCUUUUGCCUAUUGAUCUCUUUGGAAGAUCAUAAAUAAAAAUAUGAAAUUAUCUUCACCCAUACUUACACCACUCCCUAACCCUUGCCACAACAUAUCAUCUAAUGAACUACUACCACUAAGGAUGCCUUGAUAAGAGACUAGUGUCAUUGCU
rnacentral:lncRNA from 1 species